rnacentral:pre_miRNA from 13 species
UUUCAGCAGUACUAAAGUGCUUAUAGUGCAGGUAGUGUUUUCUAUCUACUGCAAUGUGAGCACUUGAAGUAUUUCUGACA